AACGAACGCUGGCGGCGUGCUUAACACAUGCAAGUCGAACGAUGAAGCCGGAGCUUGCUCUGGUGAAUUAGUGGCGAACGGGUGAGUAACACGUGAGUAACCUGCCCAUAAGACUGGGAUAACUCCGGGAAACCGGGGCUAAUACCGGAUAACAUUUUGAACCGCAUGGUUCGAAAUUGAAAGGCGGCUUCGGCUGUCACUUAUGGAUGGACCCGCGUCGCAUUAGCUAGUUGGUGAGGUAACGGCUCACCAAGGCAACGAUGCGUAGCCGACCUGGGAGGGUGAUCGGCCACACUGGGACUGAGACACGGCCCAGACUCCUACGGGAGGCAGCAGUAGGGAAUCUUCCGCAAUGGACGAAAGUCUGACGGAGCAACGCCGCGUGAGUGAUGAAGGCUUUCGGGUCGUAAAACUCUGUUGUUAGGGAAGAACAAGUGCUAGUUGAAUAAGCUGGCACCUUGACGGUACCUAACCAGAAAGCCACGGCUAACUACGUGCCAGCAGCCGCGGUAA
rnacentral:rRNA from 1 species